rnacentral:piRNA from 1 species
GCCCUGCUCAGCCUGACUACAUUCACUC